AUUGAACGCUGGCGGCAUGCUUUACACAUGCAAGUCGAACGGCAGCACAGACUUCGGUCUGGUGGCGAGUGGCGAACGGGUGAGUAAUACAUCGGAACGUGCCCAGUUGUGGGGGAUAACUACUCGAAAGAGUAGCUAAUACCGCAUGAGAACUGAGGUUGAAAGCAGGGGAUCGUAAGACCUUGCGCAACUGGAGCGGCCGAUGGCAGAUUAGGUAGUUGGUGGGAUAAAAGCUUACCAAGCCGACGAUCUGUAGCUGGUCUGAGAGGACGGCCAGCCACGCUGGGACUGAGACACGGCCCAGACUCCUACGGGAGGCAGCAGUGGGGAAUUUUGGACAAUGGGCGAAAGCCUGAUCCAGCAAUGCCGCGUGCAGGAUGAAGGCCUUCGGGUUGUAAACUGCUUUUGUACGGAACGAAAAGCUUCGGGCUAAUACCCUGGAGUCAUGACGGUACCGUAAGAAUAAGCACCGGCUAACUACGUGCCAGCCGCCGCAGUAAAAC
rnacentral:rRNA from 1 species